CCUACGGGUGGCAGCAGUGAGGAAUAUUGGUCAAUGGACGAGAGUCUGAACCAGCCAAGUAGCGUGAAGGAUGAAUGCCCUAUGGGUUGUAAACUUCUUUUAUAAAGGAAUAAAACGAGGCACGUGUGCCUGUUUGCAUGUACUUUAUGAAUAAGGAUCGGCUAACUCCGUGCCAGCAGCCGCGGUAAUACGGAGGAUCCGAGCGUUAUCCGGAUUUAUUGGGUUUAAAGGGAGCGUAGAUGGGUUGUUAAGUCAGUUGUGAAAGUUUGCGGCUCAACCGUAAAAUUGCAAUUGAUACUGGCAGUCUUGAGUACAGUUGAGGUAGGCGGAAUUCGUGGUGUAGCGGUGAAAUGCUUAGAUAUCACGAAGAACCCCGAUUGCGAAGGCAGCUUACUAAACUGUGACUGACAUUGAUGCUCGAAAGUGUGGGUAUCAAACAGGAUUAGAUACCCGAGUAGUC
rnacentral:rRNA from 1 species